AGAAGAUUAAAAGAGGGAAGCAGAGGAGUUGGGAGCUGGCGGUCGUUCCCGGGGAAGAACUGCUAAAACAUGAGACCAAGGCACAGACCUUACUGUAUGAGAAGCAAUGCUCCUCAAACCUUCUGCGUGCUGACAUAGACCUUCCCAGAAGCAAAACUGUUGGCGGCGACCUGAGCGCUGGAAGCCGAAGGGGAAGAGGAAGGAGACGCGAAGCCAGGGCGGCCGGCACAAAGGCGGCGGACUCGCGGCGGCAGCGCCUGCCCGGCCGGGAGCACAACCCACGGCCCUACUCCAGCGAAGUCCCGCACCGGCUUCUAGGAAUAAAGUUUACGUUCUCCUGAGGCCGCACCCCCCACCUCCCACCCAGGACGGCACAUCUCCGUGUCCUCCUCCCCCAAACUCCACUCGGGACCCCGAGAACCACCCCAGCCUUCCGGCCACCACAACAAAGAGCCGCACCGACCGGCGAGGAUAAACAGCGGCGGAGGGCGAGAGGGCGGCGGGGCGAGCGCCUCCACGCAGCAACUCCGGAGUCCCCCGCUUGCCCGAGCGCAGUUUCUCCGCUGCUGUUUCCACCGGCUUUGUAACACUGGGAAUUUACAUCCUCACCCGCACCCCUCACGCCCGAGGAUUUUAAACUCACCUUUACUCUCGAACUGAGAGUUGCGGUAGAUGGGAUUUUUGCCUUUUCCCCAGAUGGUUGAAGGUUAAGAUUUUUGGAAACCCCACCACCUCCUUAUUUCUAUUAUUAUUUCUGCAAGAAAAGUAUAAAGAGAGUUGUAGUGGAGGUGAGAUUUGUGAUCGGGAAAGCCUUCGACUCCCUCCUUCUCCGUCUUCCGCCUCUCUCUCUCUGAUUAGUUCCUAUCCAGCAGCAGAUUGAAGCAGGAGAUGAUUCUUCUCAAGGUUUGUUCAGCAGCUUCACUUCUAGGCGAAGGCUUCAUGAACCAAGUGACGUCAACCAACAAGGCUUCUCUCUCUCUCCUCUCUCUAACAAUGAAAGUUGCUGUUAACAAGGGAAAAAAAGAGAGAGAAUUGUUUAUACCAUUUCAGUUCCAAUAAUAAAUGACCUAUCAGCUCCUAAAGGAGCCAAGGGAGGGGGUUGCUUCUUCUUUCCAAGAAUACUGUAGCUUUGAGUUUGCACCGUUCCUUGUCCCAGGAAAAAGUUAAGAAACUUAAAAUGUUUUGUUUUGCUUUUAAAGAAGACAGGACAGAAAACGGGAUUUAAAACUUAGUUUUUAAAAAAACAAAAGCUACAGAGUAGGGAGCAUAGGUCAACCAUCUCCACCUAAAUUUUUUUUGUUCCUAAACUCAGAAUUCUACAACCCAACUAAAUUAAUAUGCCAAGAUUUUGCGGAUGUUAAAACUCAAAAAAAGCAGUAUGCAAGACGGUCCCGGGGUAAAAUUCUACUGCCUUUCCACGGACAAGUUAAACUGGCUGUAAUGUUUAUGCACUAAGUUAAAAUAAAAUUUAAAUAAAAGACGUU
rnacentral:lncRNA from 1 species